ACAUACAAACUCCUUUGAUAUUUGCAUUAUCCAAACACUACCCUUCAACAAAUACAUAUCCAUCCAUCAACUUCAUCCAAAAAUGGGUGAUUUUUGUCCUCCGGGAAAGAAUAGGUGAUUCGAACUUGUUGGAAUAGAAGCAAAGAUUACGAGAAAAUCAUCAAGAAAGAAAAUUCCAAUGUAGGGAUUGUUGAAAUUUUAUUAGCGGGAAGUUUUGUGCCGUUAGAUUUUAGCUGCCAUCGAGUUCGAUUGUUUGUUAAUAUAAAUGAUAUAGUUGUUCGCAUACGAGGGAUUAGUUAGAAAAAAACUAUCCAAAAGAUGUUGAUGGAUGCAUAUGUAUUGUCUCGUCUCUACUUUCUUAUUAUAAUAAAGUUGUUACUACAUGACUUAAUUAUGAAAU